CCUACGGGUGGCAGCAGUGAGGAAUAUUGGUCAAUGGACGAGAGUCUGAACCAGCCAAGUAGCGUGAAGGAUGACUGCCCUAUGGGUUGUAAACUUCUUUUAUAUGGGAAUAAAACGUUCCACGUGUGGGAUUUUGUAUGUACCAUAUGAAUAAGGCUCGGCUAACUCCGUGCCAGCAGCCGCGGUAAUACGGAGGAUCCGAGCGUUAUCCGGAUUUAUUGGGUUUAAAGGGAGCGUAGGUGGAUUGUUAAGUCAGUUGUGAAAGUUUGCGGCUCAACCGUAAAAUUGCAGUUGAAACUGGCAGUCUUGAGUACAGUAGAGGUGGGCGGAAUGCGUGGUGUAGCGGUGAAAUGCUUAGAUAUCACGAAGAACUCCGAUUGCGAAGGCAGUUCACUGGACUGCAACUGACACUGAGGCACGAAAGUGUGGGUAUCAAACAGGAUUAGAUACCCUUGUAGUC
rnacentral:rRNA from 1 species